UGUGUGAUCUAACCCAUCUGCCUCUGUC
rnacentral:piRNA from 1 species